GUCUAGAGUGCCCUCUAAGGGCAUGCCAGCUUUCUUAAGUAACCUCUUAACAUUCUUAAUUGCUCCUUGUCCUUUGUGAUGCUUGACAAUAGUCAAAGCUGUAAAUCCCCCUUGGGUACUUUCAGAGCUACCCAUCUUAAAACCUGUAAGGGUUAAUUACUUCCUUACACAAGACAAACUGUACAAAAACAGUGUAUUUGACAUUAGGACCUCUGCAGUGG